GCUCAGGAUGAACGCUGGCGGCGUGCUUAACACAUGCAAGUCGAACGGGAAACACUUCAUUGAGGCUUCGGCGGAUUUGAUCUGUUUCUAGUGGCGGACGGGUGAGUAACGCGUGGGUAACCUGCCUUAUACUGGGGGAUAACAGCCAGAAAUGGCUGCUAAUACCGCAUAAGCGCACAGAACCGCAUGGUUCGGUGUGAAAAACUCCGGUGGUAUAAGAUGGACCCGCGUUGGAUUAGCUAGUUGGCAGGGCAGCGGCCUACCAAGGCGACGAUCCAUAGCCGGCCUGAGAGGGUGAACGGCCACAUUGGGACUGAGACACGGCCCAGACUCCUACGGGAGGCAGCAGUA
rnacentral:rRNA from 1 species